UUGACCUCAAAUCAGGUAGGACUACCCGCUGA
rnacentral:ncRNA from 12 species